UACGUAGGGGGCUAGCGUUGUUCGGAAUUACUGGGCGUAAAGCGCGCGCAGGCGGCUAUCCAAGUCAGUGGUGAAAGCCCGGAGCUCAACUCCGGAACUGCCAUUGAAACUGUUUAGCUUGAGGACGAGAGAGGUGAGUGGAAUUCCCAGUGUAGAGGUGAAAUUCGUAGAUAUUGGGAAGAACACCGGUGGCGAAGGCGGCGACCUGGUCCUUGACUGACGCUGAGGCGCGAGAGCGUGGGGAGCAAACAGG
rnacentral:rRNA from 1 species